AAACUUUCAACAACGGAUCUCUUGGUUCCCGCAUCGAUGAAGAACGCAGCGAAAUGCGAUAAGUAAUGUGAAUUGCAGAAUUCAGUGAAUCAUCGAAUCUUUGAACGCACAUUGCGCCCCCCGGUAUUCCGGAGGGCAUGCCUGUUCGAGCCUCAAUG
rnacentral:rRNA from 1 species